CCUCCCCAGGCUGCCUACUCCACUAUCACCUCCAGGCUCCUCUGCCUCCCCGACCUGCAUUGCCCCAAGCUCCCUUCUGUGAUCUCGUACCCCAGCCCCACUCUGCUCCUUGCCCCUUGACCAUGGUGCCCUGGGCGGUCACCUACAUCGCCCACCCAUAAGGUUGGCCCUGCGGCUGCUCCAGCACCUCCUUCCUCUGAUGGGUAGAAACAUGCUUAUUUCCAGCCUCAGUUGACUACUUCUUUCUCCAGUGAAAGUCCCUUACUGCUAGCUUUUGAGUUACUCCAAGCCCAGGGCAUCUUUUCCUUUUGUCUCUGAUUGCUCAGCAGCUACCCUGUCUCCCUGCCAUUUUGACUGGACAAUAAUUUUUUCUCCUGCAGCAGAAACCCAAGGCCGGAGACCUGAUUGAGAUUGACCGAGGGUUUUACAAGCACUGGAGUGUCUAUGUGGGAGACGAUGACAUUGUCCAUAUAACAGGUCUGACUGGAAUGCCUGACUGGAACUUUGUUAGCUCUAGCAACGGCAAGGCAAUAGUGAAGAAACAGCCCCUCAAACGUGUUGUAGGGAACUGCAACUAUAGGGUCAACAACAAGUAUGACAGGACCCGGCAGGUGUAUCCGGUGCCCAAAAUCAUAGAAAGGGCAACCAAGGAGGUUGGGAAGACAUGGACAUAUCACGUCUUCGCUAAGAACUGUGAACACUUUGCUACUGAGAUUCGCUACAACGAAGCAAGAAGUGACCAAGCUAAUACGGCUGUUGCAGUGAUAAUGGCGAUAGGUAUUCUGAUUUUGUUCAUUUGACAGCGGUAGCAUCGUCAAACUUCUUC